rnacentral:rRNA from 1 species
GACGAACGCUGGCGGCGUGCUUAACACAUGCAAGUCGAACGGAAAGGCCCUGCUUUUGUGGGUUGCUCGAGUGGCGAACGGUUGAUUAACCCGUGAUUAACCUGCCCUUGACUUUGGGAUAACUUCAGGAAACUGGGGCUAAUACCGGAUAGGAGCUCCUGCUGCAUGGUGGGGGUUGGAAAGUUUCGGCGGUUGGGGAUGGACUCGCGGCUUAUCAGCUUGUUGGUGGGGUAGUGGCUUACCAAGGCUUUGACGGGUAGCCGGCCUGAGAGGGUGACCGGCCACAUUGGGACUGAGAUACGGCCCAGACUCCUACGGGAGGCAGCAGUGGGGAAUAUUGCACAAUGGGCGGAAGCCUGAUGCAGCAACGCCGCGUGCGGGAUGACGGCCUUCGGGUUGUAAACCGCUUUCGCCUGUGACGAAGCGUGAGUGACGGUAAUGGGUAAAGAAGCACCGGCUAACUACGUG